rnacentral:tRNA from 1 species
CAGGAUGUAGCUUAGUGGUAGAGCACUUGCCUAGCAUGCAUGAAGCUCUAGGUUCUAUCCUAGUACCUCAA